UACGUAGGGACCAAGCGUUGUUCGGAUUUACUGGGCGUAAAGGGCGCGUAGGCGGCCACCGCAAGUCAGUUGUGAAAUCUCUGGGCUUAACCCAGAAAGGUCAACUGAUACUGCGGGGCUAGAGUGCAGAAGGGGCAACUGGAAUUCUCGGUGUAGCGGUGAAAUGCGUAGAUAUCGAGAGGAACACCUGCGGCGAAGGCGGGUCUCUGGGCAGUAACUGACGCUGAGGAGCGAAAGCGUGGGGAGCGAACAGG
rnacentral:rRNA from 1 species